CCUACGGGAGGCUGCAGUGGGGAAUAUUGCACAAUGGGGGAAACCCUGAUGCAGCGACGCCGCGUGAGUGAAGAAGUACUUCGUUAUGUAAAGCUCUAUCAGCAGGGAAGAAAAUGAAGGUACCUGAGUAUGAAGCCAUGGCUAACUCCGUGCCAGCAGCCGUGGUAAUACGUCGGGGGCGAGCGUUAUCCGGAUUUACUGGGUGUAAGGGGGGCGUAGACGGGAGUGGAAGUCUGGAGUGAAAGGCGGGGGCUCAACCCCCAGACUGCUCUUGAAACUGUACGGCUGGAGUGCAGGAGAGGUAAGUGGAAUUCGUGGUGUAGCGGUGAAAUGCGUAGAUAUGAGGAGGAACACCAGUGGCGAAGGCGGCUUACUGGACUGUAACUGACGUUGAGGCUCGAAAGCGUGGGGAGCAAACAGGAUUAGAUACCCGGGUAGUC
rnacentral:rRNA from 1 species